GACGAACGCUGGCGGCGUGCUUAACACAUGCAAGUCGAACGAAGAGCGAUGGAAGCUUGCUUCUAUCAAUCUUAGUGGCGAACGGGUGAGUAACGCGUAAUCAACCUGCCCUUCAGAGGGGGACAACAGUUGGAAACGACUGCUAAUACCGCAUACGAUCUAAUCUCGGCAUCGAGGAAAGAUGAAAGGUGGCCUCUAUGUAUAAGCUAUCACUGAAGGAGGGGAUUGCGUCUGAUUAGCUAGUUGGAGGGGUAACGGCCCACCAAGGCGAUGAUCAGUAGCCGGUCUGAGAGGAUGAACGGCCACAUUGGGACUGAGACACGGCCCAGACUCCUACGGGAGGCAGCAGUGGGGAAUCUUCCGCAAUGGACGAAAGUCUGACGGAGCAACGCCGCGUGAGUGAUGACGGCCUUCGGGUUGUAAAGCUCUGUUAAUCGGGACGAAAGGCCUUCUUGCGAAUAGUUAGAAGGAUUGACGGUACCGGAAUAGAAAGCCACGGCUAACUACGUGCCAGCAGCCGCGGUAAUACGUAGGUGGCAAGCGUUGUCCGGAAUUAUUGGGCGUAAAGCGCGCGCAGGCGGAUCAGUCAGUCUGUCUUAAAAGUUCGGGGCUUAACCCCGUGAUGGGAUGGAAACUGCUGAUCUAGAGUAUCGGAGAGGAAAGUGGAAU
rnacentral:rRNA from 1 species